UGCGCCCAACAUUGAGGUUGGAGCUAGAUUUGGGAAACUGAAUUUCUCUUCAUUUCCAAAUCUUGUCCUUCUUAAUCUUAGUGAUCAUCAACUUAGAGGAAAAAUCCCGCAUCAGAUAGGUGAUCUAUCAGCAUUGAAGUACCUUGACUUGUCUUAUUGUGGUUUAUCUGGUGAGUUACCUCCUUCUCUAGGGAAGCUGACCCAAUUAGAAUUCCUCGACAUUUCCUAUAAUGAUAAUAUUAAUGGUUCCAUCCCUCCACAAUUGGGGAAUCUAGAGAACCUUGUGACUUUAAACUUAAGUCAAUGUGGAAUUGUUGGUCCAAUCCCUUCUGCUUUGGGUCAAUUAACCAGUCUCCAAUCUCUGAUCCUUUGGGGGAACCAAAUCAAUGGAUCUAUCCCAUUAGAAAUUGGAUAUUUGAGAAAUUUGACUUAUUUGAGUCUCUCCAACAAUAGAAUUGUUGGUCCAAUCCCUUCUGCUUUGGGUCAAUUAACCAGUCUCCAAUCUCUGAUCCUUUGGGGGAACCAAAUCAAUGGAUCUAUCCCAUUCGAAAUUGGAUAUUUGAGAAAUUUGACUUAUUUGAGUCUCUCCAAGAAUAGAAUUGUUGGUCGAAUCCCUUCUGCUUUGGGUCAAUUAACCAGUCUCCAAUCUCUGAUCCUUUCGGGGAACCAAAUCAAUGGAUCUAUCCCAUUAGAAAUUGGAUAUUUGAGAAAUUUGACUGAUUUGAGUCUCUCCAGCAAUGGAAUUGUUGGUCCAAUCCCUUCUGCUUUGGGUCAAUUAACCAGUCUCCAAUAUCUGCUCCUUUCGGGGAACCAAAUCAAUGGAUCUAUCCCAUUAGAAAUUGGAUAUUUGAGAAAUUUGACUUAUUUGAGUCUCUACAACAAUAGACUUGUCGAUUCAAUACCCAUUACUCUGUACCAAUUAACCAAUUUGGAAAUUUUGGACGUUGAUAAUAACCAACUUCAAGGUUCUAUUCCCCAAGAAAUUUGUAAUCUAGCAAAUUUAACUUCAUUGUACCUCUCCCAAAACAAAUUGACUGGUUCAAUCCCUUCUUGUGUUGGUAGUUUAUCAAAGAUGCUGUACUUAAGCCUUGGUUCUAAUCUAUUAAAAGGUCCUAUUCCCCAAGAAAUUUGUAAUCUAGCAAAUUUGACUUCAUUGUACCUCUCCCAAAACAAAUUGACUGGUUCAAUCCCUUCUUGUAUUGGUAGUUUAUCAAAGAUGCUGGACUUAAGCCUUGGUUCUAAUCUAUUAAAAGGUUCUAUCCCAAAAGAAAUUGGCAAGCUUUUUGAUCUAUCAUAUCUAAACCUUAGCUUCAACCAACUCUCAGGUCCUAUCCCUAUCUUGUCUGCCACUAAGCUUCGCAUUAUCGAUGCUGGAAAUGGUUGUAACAAGAUUUCUCCCGAUCCAUUUGAAGGCAAUAGUGAUUUAUCACCCUAUAUGUGUCCUACUCCACUAACCAAAAUAGCCAACAGCAGCAGAAUUCCUUACUAUAUCAAAACAUUCCUCCCUAUUGCGAUCUUAUUCACAUUCUCCAUUUUAGGAUGUUUGCUAUUUUCACGGUUUAAGCUCAAGAAUAACCAUGUCAGCGUACAACCAACCAAGAAUGGGGAUUUGUGUUCCAUAUGGAACUAUGAUGGAAAGAUAGCAUACGAGGAUAUCGUUGCAGCAACAGAGGAUUUCGACUUCCGAUACUGUAUUGGAGUUGGUGGUUAUGGUAGUGUUUACAAAGCAAAACUCCCUUGUGGUAAAGUAGUUGCUUUGAAGAAACUUCAUCAUUUAGAAGCCGAAAAUCCAACUUUUGACAAGAGUUUCAGGAACGAGAUCAAGUUUCUAUCAGAAAUACGACAUCGAAACAUAGUGAAGCUUCACGGGUUUUGUCUACACCGACGAUCCAUGUUUUUGAUCUAUGAAUACAUGGAAAAAGGGAGUUUGUUCUGCAACCUAAGGGAUGAAGUGAACGCUGUGGACAUGGAUUGGACGAAAAGAGUAGAGAUCAUCAAAGGCAUAGCACAUGCUUUGUCUUACUUGCACCAUGAUUGCUGCCCUCCGAUAGUUCAUCGAGACAUAUCAAGUAACAAUGUUCUUUUAAACUCAAGUUUUGAGGCCUUUGUGGCCGACUUUGGAACAGCUAGAAUGUUGGAUCUUGAUUCAUCUUAUCAGACCAUUAUUGUCGGAACUUGUGGCUACGUAGCUCCAGGUGGCGUUUUCUUUUUUACUUGAUUUACUGACCUUUUCUCUGAACAUAUAGUUGAAUUUCUUCUUACUAAUUUGUGUAGGUAGAACUUGCUUAUACAAUGAUUGUCACCGAAAAAUGCGAUGUUUAUAGUUUUGGAGUGAUAGCACUGGAAACAUUAAUGGGAAAGCAUCCUGAAGAAGUGUUAUCAUGGUUGUCAUCACCAACUUCUUUGGUAAACAUGAAGCUGGUUGAUGUGUUAGACAACCGUUUACCACUUCCAACAAGUCAACUAGUUACACAAAAUCUUGUUCAUGUUGAUACACUGGCAUUCGCUUGCUUAAAUCCACAAACGAAGUCCCGACCAACAAUGAAGGAAGUGUCUGAAUGGUUCCUUUCUCGCCAUACAUCCUUGGGAAUUCCUCUUUGGAUGAUCUCUUUGUUACAACUCAUGAACCGUGAAAUGCAUAUUAAAGGCAAAACUAAAACUUGUGAUGUUUAAAGUCCAUGCGCUUGUUGAUUAGAUAUUGUUUAUCAUGCUCUGAUAAUUUGUUUGUAAACCAUCUCUGGUUUUAUAUAUGAUGGAAUGAAUUGCAAUGUUUAAUAAACCCGUUUAUUCGGUUGCUUUAGAAGACAUAAAUUCUACAAUUUGAUCCAAAUAUUAAGACAUCAUCGCUGGCUGCUUCCUUGAAUUUUGUGCUUCUUUCAAACCAACUCAAAGAUAAAUAACAUAAAAGUAAAUUAAGGGUGAAUCAAAGCAACAAAAUGCAAUCAAUACAUACAUCAAGAAUUCACCUCAGCUAUCUAUAAUUCAUGAAACAAUCUCUCAACUUAUAAAAUGUAAGUGAGACUCCACAGACCUGAUAUCCAAACUCAAAAGCAAUAAAAGGCGUCAUCAGAACCCUGGCAAGUGAAGACGACAAUCUUUUCAAGCAAGGUAGCGAUACAACUUCCUGUCACCUUUAUCCCUCUCCAGGAACUCCCGCUCAAUAAGGGACUCGAUCCGUUUCUUAAUUACAACGGGGUUGGGCAGAAACCGUGACUGUAGCUGUUUUGUGACCUCAGCAACAAUGUUGUUAUGAUCCAGCACACGCCUAGCUUUCAUGAUCCUCACGAUUGCUGCCUCAAUUUGCGGUUUUCGAUCUUCCUCCACUCUCUGCCUAGUUUCUUGAUUUUCAGGUUCCGACUCCCUUUGCGCAGCCACAGUGCCUAUCUUGACCUUGAAGAACUUGCUUGUAUACUUGUCAUUGAAAAGAAAGGUAUCAGUGUCUACUAUGUCCUUGCUCAUAGGUUCUUUCCGAAGCACAUUUUUUCCCUUAACACAGGCAAGAGACUGCAAGCACCUUUUCAAGUCAAAGGUAGGAAUCUCGGUCACCUGCUCAAUCUCCUUAUAGCUUAGUCGAUCAGCAUCGUUGAAGAGCAUAAGGACACACAUCUGGUAUGUGGAAACAUUCAGUUCAUGCUUCUGUCCCUUACCAAAGGUUGCCUUCAAAUCAGCUGUCCCCAUGUUAGUUUGCCAAGACAAUCUCCGUCCGGUAUGGGUACCUAGGUAAUAAUUACGGAAUUUCUCACAUAUUCCCAGAAUUUCAGCAGGAAGUUUGCAUGUAGUAAUAGGUUGAGUUGGCCAAGAUCCAGUUGUCAGAACCUGGACAGAAAGCAUGGGACCAUCCCCUAUAUCCGAACCAUGACUUGCAUGGAAACCUUGCAUCGUAUCUUGUGAUGUCUUCAUAUCUGUGAACAUACCCUCCAACUUUGAGGUGAAUUGAUACCCACACUCUGUUUUGAGCUUAACAAUCAAACUUCUUUCAGCAUCAUCAGAGACGGACUUCCCUGAAAGAAGCCUUUUGGCCAAGUGUUGUUUGUAGUACUUCUCGAAAACAUCUUUCUCUUGAAGGUAACGGAAGAGCAUCAUCACCUUGUCGAGUAACAAUUCCACAUCCUCUUCAGUAACCCCCCUCAAACCUUUUCGAAGCUUAUCAUCAACAAACAAAGAGAUGAACUCUGGAGACCGAGAAUUCAGAUUGAUGAAAUAUUCAAACGAGGAAUUUAAUGCAUUUUGAAAAGUCUUGUCAUUUCUAAAUGCUGAAGUGAUAAUCUUGUCGUAUUUGUCCUUUAAAUCCAACAGAUGUUGCACAAAAUCGACAGGAUCCUUCAGCCUUUCGGGAUCAGUGAGUAACUGCUUACCAGUAUCACGAAUGUAUGAAGUCAUGACAUCUCUGAUUAAAACAAGCCCAUUGGAUACUCGACGAAACAAGUAAUACAUCCUUCCUAAGUCCUCAUAUUUUUCAUCGACAAUCAUAUUAAUCAACCCCGAGUUCUCCAUUUGCACAAGCCUGUGCAUAUGACUUUCAAUCAUCUCCGUUUCUACCACAUUUGUUAUCUUGACUUCACUUCUGGUGUCCAAGUAAUGUGAGACUCUCUCUAUUUCUUCAUUUAGGCGUCUCUCGGCUUUCUUUAGAUACUCCCCACAAUCACAUUACAGUCAUCUUCUAACCCACAAUCAUUUGUGCUAUGAGCUUUUGGGCACUAUUCCGGAUAAAAUGGACGGAGGCAAGAUCGAGAUGGGCUAGUUGCGAGACACACUCCUGGAUCCGGAUGAAGAUUCAACCGAAAUAGAAAGAAUCCGAUAUGCUCGGGCAUACAUUCUUCAGUUAAUUGGAGGUUAUCUAAUGAUAGACUUGUCACGGAGCCGCGUACAUCUAAUAUGGCUGCUGAAACUCGUUGAUUUUAGAGCAGCUGGUGAAUUCAGUUGGGGGUCUACCGUCUUGGCCACAUUAUAUCGGGAGAUGUGCGGGGCGACGUGACCGAGGAGAGUAAAAAUCAGAGGUUGCCUGUCACUACUGCAAUCAUGGGCACGGUUUCGCUUUCCAUUUUUAUGUCCUCGAGUGGACCACCCAUAUACAUUCCCAUUCAUAACGAGGUAAAUUUUAUAUUAGAUUUUACAAUUAUUAUGUAGAUAUUUAAAAAUAAAAGUAUGCUAAAAGUUUAUUUAAUUAGGUGGAACCAUCCGGCAAGUCAUGCUCGAUUACCUACCGAACUUGAAAAUAUACGGCUUCUAUUAGACCAACAGUCGGAAGCACAUGUAAGUAUUAAAUAAAAUUGAUAUUUCCAUCAUUCGCUAGUCGAUUGGUAAAUAGUAUUUAGUAUUUAGUAUUUAGUAUUUAGUAUUAUGUAUAUAACUAAUAUUUCUAUAAUGUUCACAUAGUUUCAAUGGACACCAUACGAGGAUCCGGCAAUUUGGGCAAUAAUUCCGGAUGAGUUCUUACAAAAUCGAAACGCUUGGCACGUGAAAGUCGUGUUGAUCAACUACACGACCAUGGAGCCACACCAGUCAGACAGAGUGCUACGACAGUUUGGAUGUAGACAACUAAUUCCCGUGGAACCUGAGGUGUUUGACGAUCAACACAAAAUCGACCUUCGGCAAUUGAAUACGGAUUGGCCAAGAUACUGGUUCGAGUACAUGGAAAUGUGGGAAGAUCGGUAUGAAUACAUACCUACUCUGGAACCAAUCAUCGUUCCGGAGUUAGUGUGGGUGCUGGAAUACAUGUCAUGGUUUAGGAUUCAUGGCAAGCUGUAUUUACUGACGCCAGAGGAGAGGCAGCGGCAAUUACGUGUCCAAAGGGAAAGGCGCAGGCCUCAAAAUCCAAGACGACAAGACGACGACGCUAGCCCCUCAACGAGGCCUAGACAUUCACCCGGCCCAUCAUCAGAGGUCAUGCAAUCACUAGGCCCAACGAGAGUACCGACACAGUCACCUGACCCAGCAGUCCAACCGAUGAUACCCACGCAACCGCUUUUUCAGAUGAUGCCAGGUGCGUUUCCUAGCCUUUUUAUAUAUCCUAACCCUUAUAUGUAUCCUUUUCCGAGUCCUAAGGCAGGUUGGAGCCAAUGGCCCGGUUCAGCUCCGUUUCCUGUUACGCCGAGUGGACCGCCGAUGUAUAGGUCAGCAGCACACGAGGGAUCGCAAGAGGGGCCGUCGAGGAGCUCUUCUUUUUACCAAUCCCCACCACCGUAUGAGUUUCAAACACCGUCACCGUUGGUGAUGCAAAAACCUCCACAUUCACUAUUCUUUGAAGGUGGAUCAUCGUCCCAACUCCGACAACCAGAUACCCUACCAGAAGAACCAGAAUCCCCGCCACAGGAACCACAACCGCCACCGGAAGCUGGACAAAGGAGGCAUCCAGCGCGUAACCAUCGACGGCCGCCAUGUGGCACUGAAUCCAGCGGGCACAGACAUUGAUUUUUGUAUUUAAAUUUAUUUGUACAAAUAUUUUGAAUAUUUUGAUACUAUUUGAUGUAAUAAAAUAGAAAUUGUUUUGAGUUAUUACUUAAAACCCUAAACUAAUUUCUUAAAAAUUUAUAAAUCUAUAAUUUAUAAUUUAAUUGACAAACCUUAAACCCCAAAACUAAAAACCCUAACCCUAAUCAUAACCCUUAACUUAAAAACUCUAACCUUUAAAUUAAAAACACUAAACCCUAAACCUAAAAACCAUAAACCCUUAAGCUAAAAACCUAACCUUAGACCCUAACCAUUAACCUAAAACACUAACCUUAAACCCUAAACUCAUAAACCUAAAUACCCUAACCCUAAACCCUAAACCCUUAACCUAAAAACCUUAACCAUUAACCUAAGAACCCUAAACCCUUAACCUAAAAACCCUAACCCUCAACCUAAAAACCUUAAACCCUUAACCUAAAAACCCUACACACUAAACUUAAAACCCUAAACCCUUAACCUAAAAAUCCUAACCCUUAACAUAAAAACCUUAAACCCUUAACCAAAAAACCCUAUACACUAAACUUAAAACCCUAAACCUUAAAUCUAAAAACCCUAACCCUUAACCUAAAUUUCAUAAACCCUUAACCUAAAAACCCUAACCCUGAACCUAAAUUCUAUAAACCCUUAAUCUAAAAACCCUAACCCUAAACCUUAACCUAAAAACCUUAACCCUCAACCUAAAAACCCUAACCCUUAACCUAAAAACCCUAAAUGCUUAACCUAAAAACCCUAACCCUCAACCUAAAAACCCUAAACCCUUAACAUAAAAACUCUACACACUAAACUUAAAACCUUAAACCCUUAACCUAAAAACUCUAACCCUUAACCUAAAAACCUUCAACCCUUAAACUAAAAACCCUAACCCUCAACCUAAAAACCUUAAACCCUUAACCUAAAUUCCAUAAACCCUUAACCUAAAAACCCUAACCCUUAACCUAAAUUCCAUAAACCCUUAACCUAAAAACCCUAACCCUCAACCUAAAUACCCUAAACCCUUAACAUAAAAACCCUAACAUAAAGGCUUAAAAACUAUCCUUGUCCCUUAACUUAAAUAUAAUUUGAUAAUUUUACUAACCAUUAAUACAAUUAUCAGUUAAUAACUUUACAUUCACGUAAUGUUAGAUUUGGAAAAAUGUUUUGACUAGUACUAACAAUUAAUAAUUUUAUAUAAUUUUAUAAUUUUUCUAACAAUUAAUACAAUUAUCAAUUAAUAAUUGAAAAAAUAUAAUUAGCAGCAAUUACAUUCAACUAUUGCGAUUAGGGCAUGAUCGACUUGUAUGGCCUAGAUUCCUACACCAUCCGCACAACUUUUGUUGACUGGCUGUUUCUCGGAUAGCCAUAUUGUUGCGUAUUCUAGUCGAGCAAGGUCGACCCCUUGGUUUGCGACGCAAUUUUCUAUCCAGUAACAGCUUAAAAUGAGCAAGAGAUACGGGCAGCCACUUACGUUCAUCUGGGGCCAGUGGGAAAACGUGUCUCUAGAUGUUGUACAUGUUUUCUAAUUUGUACACUUCGUCCACAUAGCUCAUCGGAUCCAGACGGAGAUUCUGACAAGAUACAAUAACAUGAGAGCAUGGAUAACAAAGUGCAUCAAAACUCUCACGGUCGCAAGUCCUAUUUCGCAAGUCUACAUGAUAUUGCCCACCAACAACACUUUGGAGCGGUCUAUCAAACUCUGUCACGCGAAACAAUAAGUUGUCUCAAUCGUGACACACGGUGUGCAUGGUGUUUGCCCGCGCCUUGGCCUUGUGAAUUUCUUAAACUACCUUGCUGCACCAUACAUGGCCUCUCUGCAUCUGGCCUGCAUAACUUGCUGCUCGCUUUGGAAAUAGUGCCACCAAACGAAAAUAUGUCUCUCGCACAACUGAUGUUAUCUGUAGAUGACGCAUUUUUUUAAGAACAGAAUUUAUGCAUUCAGCCAAGUUUGACGUCAUAUGGCCAUAUCGUAGGCCGUCGUCGUAUGCUUGUGCCCACUAUUUGAAACGUAUGUUAAAAGGUAGUACGCCCCUCCUUUGUUAAUUGAACGUAAAAUUGCCAACAUCUCGUGAAAACGGUCUUUAUUUAUUUCAUACCCUACCAAUAUAAGUUCAUAGAGAAUAUUACAUGCCACUUAUACUAAUAAAACUAAUUCAAAUUGACAAACGAAAAACACAAAUAUAGACUAAAUACACAUGUUGGUCACUUGUCGUCAUUCGUUCUUAGAUGGAUAUUGACUGUAGUAGUUGGGAGCAACGUGUCUUAGGCAAUAUCGAUGGUGCGUGCGCUGCCAUAAGCUUCCCUCUCGAUCAAAUGCAACUAGUAUAUCGGUGCCCCGAUCUAAAAUAACACAGAUAUCAGGUUGGGGGCACACAUGCCUCCUUAACCUAGAGAGAAAGAAAUCUCAAUCAUCAGAUGACUCCCCCGGUGUUAUUGCAAAUGCAAUUGGAAGAAUUCUCCCACCGCCAUCCUGUGCCACUGCAAGCAAUAGCCGAUGAGUAUACCUACCAAACAUAAAGGUACCGUCAAUUUGUACCAAUGGCUUACAGUAUGGAAAUGCGUCUCGGCAUUGCUUAAAGGUCCAAAACAGGUGUUUGAACACUCGGCAUCCACGUAGCAAUCGGCCGUUGUAGUACGCAUGUUCCGUUUGAAGGUCUAUGAUGGCACCUGGGACGUACCUCUCUAGCACUUGACACCACUGCCAUAUUUUAUUAUAUGAGGCAUCCCACCCACUAUGCAUCUUCUCCAAUUCCUUUUGCUUAGCUAUCCAAGCCUUGCGGUAAGACGGCGUGUACCCUAUUUGGCUACAGAUAUUGGCAAUUAACACCGGCACUGAAGUCUUGGGAUCUGCUUUUACCGUGGGCAGUAUCAAGCUAGCUAACAUAGCUAAAUCCAUCUUGGGAUGAUCUUGUAAAACACCUAUAAUUGGAGUACAUUAAAUAAUGCAACAUUACAUAAUAAAAGUAUUAUUCAGAAACCGUCAAUAUUGUACCUACAGCACAUGUAUGUGGACCUUUGUACUUUUUAAUCUCCCACAACCCUGUCCUUUUCCUUAACGAGGCGUAGGUUUUCCAUGAACAUGUGCCGUCUUGUACCGCAUACUUCACCUCAAACUUAUCAAAUUUCAAUUUAACGACGUGGUAGUUAACGUCGUUUUUGAUGCUAUGUUGUUUCAAAGCACCAAUAAAACUAUCCUUGUUGGUAAACUGAUUGCCAACUUUAAAUUCACCCGAAUCUAGCCCCGAACUUGUACGAUCACGCAACAGGUGUGGUAGAUCUGGAAACUCUAACGUAUCAUCUGCAGACAGAUCGACAUUAUGUAUGUGGGCUAGAGGUGAGUAUACUCUGAAUCAUGGAUUUUCUUCUUCAAUUGAACUCCUUUCAGCAUCUUCAUGUUCUGUUGGAAUAGGCUCCGGUUCAGAAAAUAAGCCAACUUCUGCACCAUCGGGCCCGAGCUCUCGAGGUGGAUCCACAUUACAGUCAUCUUCUAACCCACAAUCAUCUGCAGCGUACGAGGUCCCCUCACCGGUUGACGUCGUAGGGUGUACAUCAUCCCUUCUUCUGGGCAUUUCAUAACGUCCCCAAUUGGAUGUAGAUUGCCACCCACUAGAACUUGAUGUCGUUCCCUAAUACGUAUUUCUAGCAUCAAACGUCGAGCCACUGACGUACAUAUCCCAUCCACCAACAGAGUGUCUUGCAGGGGAUGUGCAUUCGACACCACUAUCAAAUAUGGGCUAUUCUGUGUUUUGUAACCUGCUAACCCAGUGUCAACUAGUGGUCAUGUAUACAUCUCGAACACCAGUCGCAAGUACAUCAUUUGGCGGUGUAAAUUGUACAUAUAACUCAAUAUAAGGUGCUCCACUAGCAAAAUGAGUCUGCACAAUUGCCUCCAAGUUACGAGCACCUUUUAUGUCGAACGAGUCAUAUGUCACCGGAUCAACAGAAGAACAAAAUCAACACGUGAUAGACAGAACUUUCAUUGGUGUCGUUCCAAAAAUUUUACGCCUAAUUCUUUUACGAAGUUUUGUCAAAUCUAUGUUCUGGUUAAAAACCAGUCGCACCGUAUUCUCCGAUAAAAAAACAACACCAUUCUCGGUAUGGCAAACCUCACCAUCGUAGUAAAUAACAGCACUAAUAUGUUCACUCAUAUUUGAAACUCUAACCUUCUUAGCCUCUCUAAAUUGUUUCUGCUGUGACUUAUGCAUUUUGAGAACAUUUUUUGCCUCAUUUAUAGCCUCAGCCCAAACAUGCUAUUGUAGCAAAAGCGCAUCCACGUGGGCACGAUUUCAUAAAUUCUUCUCAUAAAGCUUUUUUUUGGUAAAUUUAAAAAAAUAGGCUUUUUUUGGUAAAUUGCCCUCAAUUGGGUGCAAAAAGUUCGUAGGGGCUUAAUUGAUUUUUUUCGAAAAAGUUCGACGAUCAAAAAUACCUUUAAGCCCUACUUUAACUAUUGAUAUGUCUUUUUUAAUUAAUUUUACAUUCGUGCAUAGUAUAGGCACACAAUGUACGAGGUGUUUCCACGUAUACAUGUAAAGUGCAUUUUGAUGCCACGAAGGAAUUAGAUAAAAAUGUGAUUGUUAAGUUAGUAAUGUCACCUUCUAGUAAUUGAAAAGAAUUAGAUGCAUUUAGCUAGUAGAGUGUAAUUAUAUUGUAAUUCUUUGUGCCUUGUUUAGUAAUAUAAAUUGUAAUUACACAUUUACAAAUUUUAAAUUGUUUAAAAAGUAUUAAUUAAUAUAAAUAUUUAUCAAUAAUAUCUGAGAAAAAAUUUUAAACAAGUGACAUAAAUUAAAAUCAAAUCAUGUUAUGUUAGUCCAAGAAAAUAACCGACAACAUGAUUACCGAUAAAAAAAAAUAAAAAUAAACAUUAUAUGCAACUUUAUUAUUGCUUUAGCAUUCCAUGUUUGUUGGGUUAUUCCUUUUCUAACAUUUAACAUCUACUUCUUAUCAUCAUCUAUUAGUUCUUGACCAAUUUCUUCAUUGUUGAUACAAGGUACAACAAUGGAGGGGAGUAAGGAGGAGGUAAGGUGGAGUGAGUGGUGGUUUUGUGGAGGCCGGUUCACUUAAAGAGGUGGAGAGCCGAAAAGGAACAAGAGGAUAGGCUGAUUGCUGAAAGUGGAGAUGGCUGCUCAGAGUAACUUUAAGGAUUGGAAAAUCGAUCCAUUCUUCAUCGUUGGAAAGGUAUUUAUAAGAGAGGUCCACUUGUCCAUUAGCAUGACAUGGCAGGAUAAAUGUUCAGUCCCACCAAAUGUGUAAAGGAUAUUCAUGAACAUAAAGGAUAUUCAUGAUGGGCCCCAUUAUGUUAUUCAUUUGAUCAAUACAAGGUUGUUAUGCCCAUGCAAGUCCUAAUGGACUCAAGGAUGUGUUCACACCAAAAAAGGGGGUGCCAAGCCUUUCUAAAGGGUUGGUGCUCCUUUGAUCUUAGUGGAUGGUCCAGUGAGACAUCUUCUUAGGAAAACUCAAUGAGAGGGUUAAUGUUGUCUAUACUAUUGACACGUGUCCAUGUGGCGGGGAUAUAACAUUCAUCAUCUACAUCAAAAUCUGAAUAUGCAUCAUUAAGAUUAUUGAAAUCAUUUUUUUAUUUGUAUCAUUAAGAUUAUCAAGAUCUUUUUUUUUUCAUGUACUAUUUAAAAGUAUUGAUAAUUCCAAUUCCACCUAUAAAUGGAAUUGUGAAGUAUACAACAAGUUAGAACGAUUGAACAUUGUUUUUUGGACUAUAUUGAUGUGGUUUGUUAAUAUGAGAAAUAUUUUUUUAGAACAACAAAUAUCCUCUCAACCACAUUUCAAAGCUUUGAAUAAAGAGUUUGCGAGCUGUGUUUGGUACUUGUGUCUAGCUCUAUUCUUUCAAAUGAUAUCAUACCCCGUGAUAUACUGCAAAAAACCUUUUGCAUUUGCAUAAUCAAUAUCUAUCACAUAAUAUUUCCUAAAAAACAUGUAACAAUUUAAAUGAUUUGUGAGAAAAAUAAAAUAACAGCAAGGUGAUGAUAAUAUUAAUGUAUUUAUGAAGUACAAUUUUGAUCUAUUUUCUCUCUCAAACAUCAUUCUUAGCAUUCUAGUAUUUGAGGCACAAAUCAACUUUAUAAUCCUUCAAUUAUAAUAGUUUUUAUAAAUCUAAUUUGCAGUUUACUAUGUGUUCAAUAAUAAACCAACUUUAUAACCUUUUUAUAAUAUUUCGAUUGCUAUUAUUUCAUGCAAUUUAGAUAAAUAUAUAUAUAAAUUUUAUAAUAUAACAUUUAUAAACAAUGUUUUUAUAAAGUGCUGAAUAGCUUUUAUGGUGCUUAUGUUAAAGUGCUCAAAUAUGUGUCACACAAUAAUAGUAUAAAAAUUAUAACACACGAUUUAUAAGCAUAAUUUGCUAGGUUAAAAUUUGCUUUAAAAAAAUACAGGAGUUAGGUGACAUGGCAAGGGUUUCUCCUACCUUAAUCAAUAAUCGAGGGUUUGAUCCUUACUCUAGGUAUGGAGUAGUUUUAAAACUUGUGGCCAGUAUCUACCCCCUUAAUGGGCUUACAGAAUGUGAAAGAUUAGUUAUCGGGCUUGCUUAGGUAGAUAGAUUGAGAAAUCAAAAAAAAAUUACACAAAAUAUUUUGACUUAUGUGUCUAAUAGCAAAGCAAUUUUGACCCGAUAAGAUAUAUAUAAUUAUACUUAAAAAAAUAUAAAAUAUAUGUCCUAAAAUUAAAAUAUAUUAUUAUAUUAAAAUAUUUUUUGUAAAUUAAAAUAUAUUAUUAUUGCAUUAAAAUAAUUUUUGUAAACUUGUAUAAAAAAUAAUUUCUUAAAUCAUGUACAUGUGUUUAAAAAACUAUAAGGUAAUUAGUAAUUUAUUGUAAUUACUCGCGUAAUUACCCCAACUCUCAACCCCUAAAAAUUGAAUAGCAUAAUUGAGGUGCUAAAAUUACAUUCAAUUUAGUGAACCCACAAAUCACAAUGGUUUUCUAAACACGCCACACAUUUGCAAUAGCAAGUAAUUGCACUCAAAUCUAAUAUUUGCAUGAAAUAUUUGAAUUUAUAUGUCUAAUAGCAAAGCAAUUUUGACCCAAUAAGAAAUAUAUAAUUAUAUUUUAAAAAUAUAAAAUAUAUGUUCUAAAAUUAAAAUACUUUAUUAUUAUAUUAAAAUAACUUUUAUAAAUUUGUAUAAAAAAUAAUUUCUUAAAUCAUGUACGUAUGUUUGAAAAACUAUAAGGUAAUUAGUAAUUUAUUGUAAUUACUCGCAUAAUUACCCAACUCUCAACUCUCUAAAAAUUAAAUAGUAUAAUUGAGGUGCUAUAAUUACAUUUAAUUUAAUGGACCCAUCAAUAACAAUAGUUAGUCAAACAUACUAUACUUUUAUAAUAGCAAUUAAUCACACUCAAAUCUAAUAAUUAAUUUAUAUUGAAAUCUUCAAAAUCAUAUACUUUGUGGUCCAAGUUAAACUGAUUUUUUUUUUCAAAACAAUUGCAAAGAAAAUUCAUGAAAUUAAGUUGUUUUCAAAUAAUUAAUUCACAUUGGGAUUUUCAAAUAAAAUGUCACAUUAAUAAUAUUUCAAUCAUUAAAAUAUUAUGUAAGACAUUUUGCUUAUACAAGAAAUAUGAAAAAUUCUAAAAUUUAAUCCAGUUUAAUCUGCUGAAGGAAAUGACUCUAACACUGACCUAAUUCAAUUAAGCCUCUGAAAUUAGCUUAACUUCAUAAAACUUAAUCCAGUUUAGUCAUUCUAAAGUCUCUAAUUUUGUUUAAAAGAGUUUUUAAAUAUAUAAAUGAUUUUAAAUUUGUAUGUUUUAAUAUGAAAUUCAUUAUAUUGUAGUAAGAUUUAAUGUGGCAUGUUUAAAAUUUUAAUUUAACUCAAAUAAUUUCAUUUAAUUUGGCUCGACUCAAAUUUUAUUUCACUUGAUUCGAUUUGAAAAAAAAUUCAAAUUGAAUUAGAAUGAUAAAAUGAGACUCGUCAACUCGAAAUUAUUUUACUCGAUUCGAUCCAACACUCACCCUUAGUAAUUGCAUCAUUGAUACUAAUAACAACAUAAAAAAUGUAUACUUAUCUUUUCUAAUCAAUAUGCAGGCACGAAAUGGAAAUUUCCAUGAGAAAGAAGUAUAUCGCGUAUGAAAAAGUAAGUUCCAUGACAUCGGCUGAAGCAAUAACAACAAAUGCAAAAAGACAUUGACUCCUAUGGAAAUCCAUCAGUUUGGAAACUAUAACGUAUAUGCUACGACUCGGUGUUUUUUGGUGUGUCACCCGUUAGACUUUCAAUUAUGUUGGUAAUAAAUAUAAUCUAUUUCAAUUAAAAAAAUGAGUAGAAUUUAGUAAUUCAUUAUGACCCAAAUUAUUGGUGAAGUUAAAAUUAAAAUUUUUUCGACAAAAACUUUCAGUACUUAGUACUUAUGUGUAAUUCAAAUCUUUCCAUUAUAUAUCCCAAAUAAGUUAAAAGGCAUGGCGUGGUGUCUACCUUUGCUUAUCCAUGUCAGACUUGCAAUUCUUUAUAUUAACCUUAAUUAUCGGCCUUCAUAAAAAGAUGUGUAAUUAUACAAGUCAAGAGCAAAAAAGAUAUGUUCUCUCAUAUCACUUGGAGUGAUGAGUCCUUUCUGAACCACUCCAUCACCUUCGUAUGUCAUACCAUAUUUAAAACAUUACUUUAAGCACCUAUCAAUGUGAAUCCAUUUGGUGAUGAAUCAAAGUAUGACGGUUAACACAUAAGGAGAGUUUGUGUAAGUCUAAAGAUUGUUUACACUACCAAUACAUGAGACUAUUUCUAUAGGCAUUUGAGUGAAAUACCAAAUGGAACUAUCAUAGCAGGUCAAGUUAUAUUUUAUAAUUUUUUCGAAACUUUUUAAAAAUUAUUCACAUUUUAUUUUUUAUAUUUGUAAUAAAUUUUAUAAUUUUUAUAACUUUUACAUUUUUAAAAUAUUCUAAUAACUUGACAAGCAACAUCAACAUACUUCCACAUGGCAUGUCACAUGUCAACUUGUCAUAGCUUCCGCCAACCACAUCAACAACCAAUAUUGAUAAAAUCAGUCAACAACCGUUUUCGUUAGCGAAAGGAGCCAAUUGAUUUUUUUCUCAUUGAAUGCUCGAUUGGGUCAAUUUUUUUAUUAUGAACUUGAUUGAUUUUUAACUUUUUACUAAGGUGUUUUUUACACUUUAACCUUAUAUUAAUAUUCAUUAUUUUAUUAAAAAACUUAUUUCUAAGUAAUUUUUCCGACCGAAUUGAUAUCGGAUUAACUCCAAUAAAAUAUAUUAUAUAAACAUAUUAAAAUAUAUCAAUAAAGAAAACACCAUUAAUUUGUUUGAAGUCUCGACUUUUUGAGUCUUAAUGGGUGAGAAAUUUCUUAUAUAGAAACUGAAGACGAUAUAUAAAGUAAAUGCCACAUUAAAAGCCCAAUUCUUUGGAAAAUAAAUUCCAUCACGACUGAACCAAAAAUUAAAAUAAAAUCUAUCAUAUUUAAUAUAUUAGUCCAAGAAAAUAAUCGAUAAUAUGAUUACUAAUAAAAAUAACAAGAAAAAUGAUUUAUGUUAGGUUAUAACAAUAUUUUUUUUUUUUUGAACAAUGAGAUUUUGACCUAGACUAUUCCUUGAAAAGGUGAAUACUCGACUAAUAGGCCACAACUUAAAAUUUUUUAAAUUAUAACCAUUUUUAUAAUACAUGAAUUAGGUUUAAAAUAGUAUAAAAUUUAUAAUAUAUACCAACUAUAUAAAAAAUUAUUUAUAAGGUGUCCAAUAACUUCCAAAACACUUCUUAUAAAUAAUAAAUAUUUUUAUCUUAAAAAGUUUUUUUUUUUAAAUAAGUCAUGGAAAAAAAUUAUAAUUGUUUUAUAAAUAAGUAUAUUUUUUUGUAUAACAUAUAGUAUGGACACAUAAAUAAGUUAUAUUUAAAUUUUUUGACCAUAACUUUUUUUUUUAUAAAUAAGUAUUUGCAUAAUAUAGUAUUUGCAUAAUAUAAUGUUUGCAUUAUUGAUACUAACAACAUAGAAAUUUCCAUGAAAAAGGCCUUGAAUCCUUUGAUGAAUUAAGUUCCAUGACAAGGACUGAAGCAAUGACGACAGCUGGCCCCUGCAACUAUUGCAACAAGACCUUGAAUCCUUUGAUGAGUUCCUUUAAAUUCAUCAGUUUGGAAACCAUAACAUAUAUGCUACCACUAAAUCCUUACCAGAUUAAACAUGGCCCCAUCCUUAACCAUUUCUGUUAUUCUAGGGGUACUGUGGGCCACCAUCCUUCUUUCCUUUGCUACAACUGUGACAGCAGCAUAUCCAUCGCCAUUGGAGUCCGAAGCCAUAGCUCUGCUAGAAAGCAGGUGGUGGAGUAACCAUAGCAGCAAUACUUCACAACGUUGCCAGUGGCCUGGUAUAACCUGCAACACUGCUGAAAGCAUCACCCAAAUUAACUUAUCUGAUGCGCCCAACAUUGAGGUUGGAGAUAGAUUUGGGAAACUGAAUUUCUCUUCAUUUCCAAAUCUUGUCCUUCUUGAUCUUAGUGAUCAUCAACUUAGAGGAAAAAUCCCGCAUCAGAUAGGUGAUCUAUCAGCAUUGAAGUACCUUGACUUGUCCAAUUGUGGUUUAUCUGGUGAGUUACCUCCUUCUCUAGGGAAGCUGACCCAAUUAGAAUUCCUCGACAUGUCCUAUAAUGGUAAUAUUAAUGGUUCCAUCCCUCCACAAUUGGGG
rnacentral:lncRNA from 1 species